GACGAACGCUGGCGGCGUGCUUAACACAUGCAAGUCGAACGAUGACGACCGAGCUUGCUCGGUCUGAUUAGUGGCGAACGGGUGAGUAACACGUGAGCAACCUGCCCUUCACUCUGGGAUAACCUCGGGAAAUCGGGGCUAAUACCGGAUAUGAGCUCCUGUCGCAUGGCGGGUGUUGGAAAGUUUUUCGGUGAAGGAUGGGCUCGCGGCCUAUCAGUUUGUUGGUGAGGUAGUGGCUCACCAAGGCGAUGACGGGUAGCCGGCCUGAGAGGGCGACCGGCCACACUGGGACUGAGACACGGCCCAGACUCCUACGGGAGGCAGCAGUGGGGAAUAUUGCACAAUGGGCGAAAGCCUGAUGCAGCGACGCCGCGUGAGGGGUGACGGCCUUCGGGUUGUAAACCUCUUUCAGCAGGGAAGAAGCGAAAGUGACGGUACCUGCAGAAGAAGCGCCGGCUAACUACGUG
rnacentral:rRNA from 1 species